rnacentral:hammerhead_ribozyme from 1 species
GAACUACUGACGUGUCCCAAAACAGAACGAAACAGCUGUUCAGUGC